UACAGAGGGUGCAAGCGUUGUUCGGAAUUAUUGGGCGUAAAGGGCGCGUAGGCGGUUCGGCAAGUCUCUAGUGAAAUCUCUGGGCUCAACUCAGAGUCUGCUGGGGAAACUGCCGGGCUUGAGUGUGGGAGAGGAGAGUGGAAUUCCCGGUGUAGCGGUGAAAUGCGCAGAUAUCGGGAGGAACACCCGUAGCGAAGGCGGCACUCUGGGCCGUGACUGACGCUGAGGAGCGAAAGCGUGGGGAGCGAACAGG
rnacentral:rRNA from 1 species